rnacentral:rRNA from 1 species
UACAGAGACUGCAAGCGUUAUUCGGAUUCACUGGGCGUAAAGGGUGCGCAGGCGGCCAAGUGUGUUAGGCGUGAAAGCCCGGAGCUUAACUCCGGAAUUGCACCUCAAACUACAUGGCUAGAGCAUUGGAGAGGGUAGCGGAAUUCACGGUGUAGCAGUGAAAUGCGUAGAUAUCGUGAGGAACACCAGAGGCGAAGGCGGCUACCUGGACAAUUGCUGACGCUCAGGCACGAAAGCGUGGGGAUCAAACAGG